ACUGCUCAGUAACACGUGGACAACCUGCCCUUAGGUUGGGUAUAAACCCGGGAAACUGGGUAUAAUACCCGAUAGGUCUCGAUUGCUGGAAUGCAUCGAGAUUUAAAGCUCCGGCGCCUAAGGAUGGGUCUGCGGCCUAUCAGGUAGUAGUGGGUGUAGCGUACCUACUAGCCUACGACGGGUACGGGUUGUGAGAGCAAGAGCCCGGAGAUGGAUUCUGAGACACGAAUCCAGGCCCUACGGGGUGCAGCAGGCGCGAAAACUUUACAAUGCUGGCAACAGCGAUAAGGGAACCUCGAGUGCCAGGUUACAAAUCUGGCUGUCGAGAUGCCUAAAAAGCAUUUCAUAGCAAGGGCCGGGCAAGACCGGUGCCAGCCGCCGCGGUAACACCGGCGGCUCGAGUGGUAACCGUUAUUAUUGGGUCUAAAGGGUCUGUAGCCGGCCGGAUAAGUCUCUUGAGAAAUCUGGCAGCUUAACUGUCAGGCUUUCAGGAGAUACUGUCUGGCUCGAGGCCGGGAGAAGUGAGAGGUACUUCAGGGGUAGGGGUGAAAUCUUGUAAUCCUUGAAGGGCCACCAGUGGCGAAGGCGUCUCACCAGAACGGACCUGACGGCAAGGGACGAAAGCUAGGGGCACGAACCGGAUUAGAUACCCGGGUAGUCCUAGCCGUAAACGAUACUCGCUAGGUGUCGGCCACGGUGCGACCGUUGUCGGUGCCGUAGGGAAGCCGUGAAGCGAGCCACCUGGGAAGUACGGCCGCAAGGCUGAAACUUAAAGGAAUUGGCGGGGGAGCAC
rnacentral:rRNA from 1 species